rnacentral:rRNA from 1 species
GACGAACGCUGGCGGCGUGCUUAACACAUGCAAGUCGAACGGAAAGGCCCUGCUUGCAUGGUAUUCGAGUGGCGAAAUGGUGAGUAACACAUGUGUGAUCUGCCCUCUACUUUUUGGUAAUCCUUCAAAACUGGGUCUAUAACCUCAUAUGAGCCCUUCUUAUUGUUGUUGUGGGAAAGAUUUUUGGGUCUAGGAUGAGCUCACGGGCUGCUAGCUUGUUUGUUGGGUGAUGGGCUACCUAGGCGGCCACGGGUAGCCGGCCGGGGGGGGUGGACGGCCACCAUGGGACUGAGGUAAGGCCCAGGAUCCUAAGGGGGGCAAAAGUGGGGAAUAUUGCAAAAUGGGGGCAAGGCUGAUGAAGAGAAGCCGCGGGGGGGAUGACGGGCUUCGGGUUGUAAAAUCGUUUCGGUAGGGAAGAAGCUUUUUGUGACGGUACCUAGAUAAGAAGCACCGGCUAACUACGUG